CAGUCGCCGCGGUAAUACGAAGGGGGCUAGCGUUGUUCGGAUUUACUGGGCGUAAAGGGCGCGUAGGCGGGCUGAUAAGUCAGGGGUGAAAUCCCAAGGCUCAACCUUGGAACUGCCCUUGAUACUGUUUGUCUUGAGUUCGAGAGAGGUAAGUGGAACUGCGAGUGUAGAGGUGAAAUUCGUAGAUAUUCGCAAGAACACCAGUGGCGAAGGCGGCUCACUGGCUCAUUCUAGACGCUGAGGUGCGAAAGCGUGGGGAGCAAACAGGAUUAGAUACCCGUGUAGUCCCUGUCUCUUAUAA
rnacentral:rRNA from 1 species